rnacentral:lncRNA from 1 species
AUUAAAUAAAAGCUGCUUCUAACAAAUGCCAUUUCUGAUCCAUUUUUACUUUUUGUACAGGGGUUAAGAAACAUACAGAGUAUUUUUUUCUAUAUUAAUCCAAUAUUUUAAAUAUUCUACCCACCAUAUUUUGUGGGGGAUAUGUUCUUACAUCUACAUUUGUAUAUAUAAUAUUUGAAUAACAACAAAAUAUUGUUAACUGUUUUACUGUUAACAAAAUCCUCAGACACACCUAACAUGACAACGUUAUUUUGAUGUUAAUAUGGUGAACUUUCCCACUAAUAAUACUGAUGUCAUUUCAUGUUAAAUAUGUCGUUUUUGAGCACAGAUAACUUUGUGACGUCGUCGAUGUAUAGUGGUUGUGGUUUAUUGAGUAUUUUAUUAUGGCUCUAUUCAUAAUUCCAAAUGUAUUUGCAUAUAUCACAUACUUAUACGAGCUCAUUAAUGGAAUCCGUUUCGAGUGCGUGAAAUUGAAAAGGUUAACAUAUCGAUUAUUCUGUCUAGUGCACAACAAAUGAAAAAACAUGGUAACAAAGCAUUCAUUUUACUACAUAUAGUUAAUCUUUGCAUU